UUUAUGGAGAGUUUGAUCCUGGCUCAGGACGAACGCUGGCGGCGUGCCUAAUACAUGCAAGUCGAGCGGACUCUUACACUUUCUUCGGAAAGUGUCUGGGUUAGCGGCGGACGGGUGAGUAACACGUAGGCAACCUGCCUGUAAGACUGGGAUAACUACCGGAAACGGUAGCUAAUACCGGAUAGGCUUUUUCCUCACC
rnacentral:rRNA from 1 species